AUAAGAGUACUCAAAGAAACACAUAAUUGCAAACAAAAAUAUAGAAUCAUCUCCAACAUGAAGAAGGCCUUUCUCCUGAUUUGCAUUCUUUUGGUUACCAUUUCCUUUUCCCCUUCUCUCACUUCAGCUAGGGAAUUAGCUGCUAUUGGGAAAGAUGCAGGAAUACCAAAAUGGUGGCCAAUCAAAGGUAAGCCCAAAAACCUACCAUUUGGAUGCAGCCGUGGGAAGAAAAAUUGUGUGCUGCCUAAAGUCCCUGCCAGAAGAAGAAGCCCUGCCCCACCUCCCCCACGUUGAGGCCCUUAC